rnacentral:piRNA from 1 species
UUUCGUGGAACCCAGUCAGACGA